AAAGCAACAUCAAUUACUGGCUCAGCUCUGGUCAGCCAUGGGGCCCUUACCAAACAUGGGGCAUCUUCUAGACCCUUCUCACAGAAGCCACCCCUAUGGCCCCCUGCUACCAAAACCUUGCCAUGUAAACCCACUACACCUGAUAUAGUGGAAGGUGUUCUUGCAUUUGGUUGGAGGAUUGGUAUGAAAAGAUCAUUAAGGUCUCUUCCAACACAAUCCAUUCUAUAACUCUUAUUUAUUUAUUUAUAUGCAGAUGCUGUCCUUUCUCUGAAGGAGAUAACUUGAAUAUAAUUUCUGAAGACAACCUUAGGUUUAAGCUCUUUCUCUGACUUAUUGCUUAUUUUCUUCAUGUGGUAGGACUCAAAACUGUGAAAAAUACAGAUUUUUCUUGUCCUCUAGCUCAUGUUUUUAGGACAUAUGUAUUUAUUUUUUCACUACUGUUAUAUAAAAGUCUACUGACUUUCUUAUUGAUGUUAACUUGUCUCCUGCUAUUUUUAGGGUGUAUGGAUCUAACUUGUCCUGAAGGCACUAUUUUCCUUUUGCUUGAAUGUAAAGCCAGAAUUACUUCAAUGAGAAGAACAUCCUUUAUGUGAACUCAUCAGAGGAGCCAGCAGACCUGAUCUGCAACCUGUACUCUCUCCUGUGAUUAAUACAGUGUUGGCACUUAAAAAGGAAGCUAGCACAUACAGACAAGGCAGAUGGAGACCUCAGUCCAACAAAGAACAAUGGAAAAUAUACAACUUUCUUAAAUUGACAUUUUUCUUAAUGAUAGUCUGUAGUUGUAAUCCCAUUGACCUUUACAGGAUAUACAAAUGUUUUGAAAAAACUGCAGUUCCCUUUUGAAUUGUAAUUGACUAUCAUUGAUGGAUAUGUUUUCAAAUGAGAAAAUUAGUGCAAAAUAUGACUAAUAUUUUAAACAUAAGAAAAGCUGAUUAAAAUAUUUGUGUUUAUUUGCU
rnacentral:lncRNA from 1 species